UGCGCAGGCGGGUUUGUAAGUCAGUGGUGAAAUCCUGCCGCUUAACGGUAGAAUUGCCAUUGAUACUGCGAAUCUUGAGUAUGGUUGAGGUAGGCGGAAUGUGUAGUGUAGCGGUGAAAUGCAUAGAUAUUACACAGAACUCCGAUUGCGAAGGCAGCUUACUAAGCCAUAACUGACGCUGGGACACGAAAGCGUGGGUAGCGAACAGGAUUAGAUACCCUGGUAGUCC
rnacentral:rRNA from 1 species